rnacentral:rRNA from 1 species
UACGUAGGGACCAAGCGUUGUUCGGAUUUACUGGGCGUAAAGGGCGCGUAGGCGGCCACCGCAAGUCAGUUGUGAAAUCUCUGGGCUUAACCCAGAAAGGUCAACUGAUACUGCGGGGCUAGAGUGCAGAAGGGGCAACUGGAAUUCUCGGUGUAGCGGUGAAAUGCGUAGAUAUCGAGAGGAACACCCAUGGCGAAGGCAGCAUACUGGGCCUGUACUGACGCUGAGACGCGAAAGCGUGGGUAGCAAACGGG